rnacentral:misc_RNA from 1 species
UGAUCUUCAACAUGGUUUCACAUGUCAAAUCAAGGAUGACCCAUAUCACCAAUUUUGCACUAGCUUUACAGUGCAAGUUGCUGUUAUUUGUCCCAUUACUAUUUGUAAUUAAUAAUUAGCUCUGCAUAUUAUUGAUAUCAGUCUGUUAUCAAAAACAUACUUGAAUUAAGAUUUGAAAAUUUUGUGUAAUUAUAUUUUAUUUUUUUAUUAUAAUAUAAUUUUUUUAUUAAUUUUAUAUUUAUUUUUAUUUUCUUUUUUAUACCGGUGAUUGUGUGAAAUGAUAGUAACAAUUAUGUUUGCCAUUUUGUUUGGAAGGAAAGACAGUUUCUGACAAUCAAAGAUGGAUAGAAUUAUGAUUUUCAGACAGCUUGUGGUUCUCUAUUAGACCUAAUGGCAACCAAUUUCCGAUUAGGGAUUUGUAUAAAUAUUAGAUUAGAGUUGGAAAUUGG